AGCGAACGCUGGCGGCAGGCUUAACACAUGCAAGUCGAGCGGGCCUUUCGGGGUCAGCGGCGGACGGGUGAGUAACGCGUGGGAACGUGCCCUCUGGUUCGGAAUAACUCAGGGAAACUUGAGCUAAUACCGGAUACGCCCUUUUGGGGAAAGGCUUGCUGCCGGAGGAUCGGCCCGCGUCUGAUUAGCUAGUUGGUGAGGUAACGGCUCACCAAGGCGACGAUCAGUAGCUGGUCUGAGAGGAUGAUCAGCCACACUGGGACUGAGACACGGCCUAGACUCCUACGGGAGGCAGCAGUGGGGAAUAUUGGACGAUGGGCGCAAGCCUGAUCCAGCCAUGCCGCGUGAGUGAUGAAGGCCUUAGGGUUGUAAAGCUCUUUUAUCCGGGACGAUAAUGACGGUACCGGAGGAAUAAGCACCGGCUAACUUCGUG
rnacentral:rRNA from 1 species